rnacentral:lncRNA from 1 species
CAUUCGGUUCAUCAGCCAGCCCAAUCAGGUCUGCCUCCCAGCUCUCUCUUCACUAUGACCUUCUUCCCCCUUCCAUGUAGUUUAAGCUGCUGCCUAGAGCGUUUGGACAGCCUUUUUCUGCUGCCGGCCAAGCUGUCUCUCUGCCUUUUCCACACUGCACCUCACCCAGCAGUCAAAGUAGGCAGUCCCUCGGAUUCCUACCGCAGUGCUCUGGCUCAAGACCUUCCGGCACUUGUUACAUAUGUAUCUUAUUGUGAUUCUUCUUCACCUUGUUCUCUGACUGCCCCGGUGGGACAGCGAUUCUUGGUUGUUCACCCUUCAAUCUCUCUGGCUUACAAGAAGAGUUCCUCUCUUGCAGCCUGAGUUGCCAUCUCAGUUGAACCAUUCGUUGCAAGCUGCUGGUCGGCCGCAACAAUUUGGCGCCUGAACAGGGACCUGAAGAAUGGCAGAAGGGCACUGAGAAAACGCUGUUGGUGUGGAGCUCCACGGGAAAGGCAAAGGAUCUUCGUAUCGGGCACCAGAACAAGGAACAGCUCCUGCUUCCUGACCUGCUUGAGUUCCAGUCCUGACUUCCUUUGAUGAUGAACAGCAACAUGGAAGUGUAAGCCGAAUAAACCCUUUCCUCCCUAAC